GAUGAACGCUGGACGGCGUGCUUAACACAUGCAAGUCGAACGAAGAUGCCGGAGUGCUUGCACUUUGGCAGACUGAGUGGCGGACGGGUGAGUAACGCGUGAGGAACCUGCCUCAAANAGGGGGGAUAACAGUUGGAAACGACUGCUAAUACCGCAUAAGCCCACGACCCGGCAUCGGGUAGAGGGAAAAGGAGCAAUCCGCUUUGAGAUGGCCUCGCGUCCGAUUAGCUAGUUGGUGAGGUAAUGGCCCCACCAAGGCGACGAUCGGUAGCCGGACUGAGAGGUUGAACGGCCACAUUGGGACUGAGACACGGCCCAGACUCCUACGGGAGGCAGCAGUGGGGAAUAUUGCACAAUGGGGGAAACCCUGAUGCAGCGACGCCGCGUGGAGGAAGAAGGUCUUCGGAUUGUAAACUCCUGUUGUUGAGGAAGAUAAUGACGGUACUCAACAAGGAAGUGACGGCUAACUACGUG
rnacentral:rRNA from 1 species